ensembl:lncRNA
UAGGGUUGGGACUGAGGUAGGGCUGAGACUGGAGUAGGGCAGAGACUGGAGUAGAGAUGAGGCUGAGGUUGGGCUGAGGCUGGGGCACGGCAGGGGGUAGGGCUGAGGCUGGGGUAGGGCGGAGACUGGAGUAGGGCUGAGGCUGAGGUUGGGCUGAGGCUAGGGCAUGUCAGGGGGCUGGGGUAUGGCUGAGACUGGAGUAGGGCGGAGACUGGAGUAAGGUUGAGGCUGGGGCAGGGCUGAGGCUGGGGCACGGCAGGGGGUAGGGUUGAGUCUGGAGUAUGGCUGAGGCUGAGGUAGGGCUGAGGUAGGGUUGAGGCUGGGGCAGAGCUGAGGCUGGGGCAGGGCUAUGGUUGGGGUACGGCUGGGGCUGGGGUAGGACUGAGACUGGGUAGGGCUAAGACUGGGGCAGGGCUGAGGCUGGGUCAGGGCUUGGGUUGGAGUAUGGCUGGGGCUGAGAUAGGGCUGAGGCUGGGGCAGGGCUAUGGUUGGGGUACGGCUGAGGCUGGGUUAGGGCUGGGGUAGGACUGAGACUGGGUAGGGCUAAGACUGGGGCAGGGCUGAGACAAGGCUGAGACUGGAGUAGGACUCAGACUGGGGUAGGGCUGGGUCUGAGGUAAGGCUGCUGGGGUAGGGCUGGGUCUGAGGUAGGGCUGUGUCUGUAGUAGGGCUAAGACUGGGUAGGGCUGGGUCUGAGGUAGGGCUGCUGGGGUAGGGCUGGGUCUGAAGUAAGGCUGCUGGGGUAGGGCUGGGUCUGAGGUAGGGCUGCUGGGGUAGGGCUGGGUCUGAAGUAGGGCUGCUGGGGUAGGGCUGGGUCUGAAGUAG